GACGAACGCUGGCGGCGUGCUUAACACAUGCAAGUCGAACGAAGUGGCGAACGGGUGAGUAACGCGUAAUCAACCUGCCCUUCAGCGGGGGACAACAGUUGGAAACGACUGCUAAUACCGCAUACUGAAGGAGGGGAUUGCGUCUGAUUAGCUAGUUGGGGGGGUAACGGCCCACCAAGGCGAUGAUCAGUAGCCUGUCUGAGGAGAUGAACGGGCACAUUGGGACUGGGACACGGCCCAGAAUCCUACGGGAGGCAGCAGUGGGGAAUCUGCCGCAAUGGACGAAAGUCUGACGGAGCAACGCCGCGUGAGUGAUGACGGGCUUCGGGUUGUAAAGCUCUGUUAAUCGGGACGCGGUACCGGAAUAGAAAGCCACGGCUAACUACGUGCCAGCAGCCGCGGUAAUAC
rnacentral:rRNA from 1 species